rnacentral:misc_RNA from 1 species
UACGGAGGAUCCAAGCGUUAUCCGGAAUCAUUGGGUUUAAAGGGUCCGUAGGCGGGUUAAUAAGUCAGUGGUGAAAGUCUGCAGCUCAACUGUAGAAUUGCCAUUGAUACUGUUAACCUUGAGUAAUUAUGAAGUGGUUAGAAUAUGUAGUGUAGCGGUGAAAUGCAUAGAUAUUACAUAGAGAUUGCGAAGGCAGAUCACUAAUAAUUUACUGUCGCUGAGGGACGAAAGCGUAGGUAUCGAACAGG